rnacentral:rRNA from 1 species
CAGCAGCCGCGGUAAAACAGAGGGUGCGAGCGUUAAUCGGAUUUACUGGGCGUAAAGCGUGCGUAGGCGGCUUCUUAAGUCGGAUGUGAAAUCCCUGAGCUUAACUUAGGAAUUGCAUUCGAUACUGGGAAGCUAGAGUAUGGGAGAGGAUGGUAGAAUUCCAGGUGUAGCGGUGAAAUGCGUAGAGAUCUGGAGGAAUACCGAUGGCGAAGGCAGCCCCCUGGGCCAAUACUGACGCUCAUGCACGAAAGCGUGGGGAGCAAACAGGAUUAGAUACCCGCGUAGUCCCUGUCUCUUAUAC